AGAGUUUGAUCCUGGCUCAGGAUGAACGCUAGCGGCAGGCUUAAUACAUGCAAGUCGAGGGGCAGCACGAAUAGCAAUAUUUGGUGGCGACCGGCGCACGGGUGCGUAACACGUAUACAACCUACCUAUAACAGGGGGAUAGCCUUUCGAAAGAGAGAUUAAUACCCCGUAAUAAAUUGAGUGGCAUCACUUGAUUUUGAAAGCUCCGGCGGUUAUAGAUGGGUAUGCGUCUGAUUAGCUAGUUGGUGAGGUAAUGGCUCACCAAGGCGACGAUCAGUAGGGGAUCUGAGAGGACUAACCCCCACACUGGUACUGAGACACGGACCAGACUCCUACGGGAGGCAGCAGUAAGGAAUAUUGGUCAAUGGAGGCAACUCUGAACCAGCCAUGCCGCGUGCAGGAUGACGGCCCUAUGGGUUGUAAACUGCUUUUGUACCAGAGAAAACCCCAGUACGUGUACUGGGUUGAUAGUAUGGUAAGAAUAAGCAUCGGCUAACUUCGUGCCAGCAGCCGCGGUAAGACGAAGGAUGCAAGCGUUAUCCGGAUUCAUUGGGUUUAAAGGGUGCGUAGGCGGACUUGUAAGUCAGUGGUGAAAUCUCUCAGCUUAACUGAGAAACUGCCAUUGAUACUGCAGGUCUAGAGUAUAGAUGACGUUGGCGGAAUAUGACAUGUAGUGGUGAAAUACUUAGAUAUGUCAUAGAACACCGAUUGCGAAGGCAGCUAACGAAACUAUAACUGACGCUGAGGCACGAAAGUGCGGGGAUCAAACAGGAUUAGAUACCCUGGUAGUCC
rnacentral:rRNA from 1 species